rnacentral:rRNA from 1 species
AUUGAACGCUGGCGGCAGGCCUAACACAUGCCAGUCGAGCGGAUGAAGGGAGCUUGCUCCUGGAUUCAGCGGCGGACGGGUGAGUAAUGCCUAGUAAUCUGCCUGUUAGUGGGGGAUAACGUCCGGAAACGGGCGCUAAUACCGCAUACGUCCUGAGGGAGAAAGUGGGGGAUCUUCGGACCUCACGCUCUCAGAUGAGCCUAGGUCGGAUUAGCUAGUUGGUGGGGUAAAGGCCUACCAAGGCGACGAUCCGUAACUGGUCUGAGAGGAUGAUCAGUCACACUGGAACUGAGACACGGUCCCGGCUCCUACGGGAGGCAGCAGUGGGGAAUAUUGAACGAUGAGCGAAAGCCUGAUCCAGCCAUGCCGCGUGUGUGAAGAAGGUCUUCGGAUUGUAAAGCACUUUAAGUUGGGAAGAAGGGCAGUAAGUUAAUACCUUGCUGUUUUGACGUUACCAACAGAAUAAGCACCGGCUAACUUCGUG